rnacentral:rRNA from 1 species
CCAGAGAAUUUAGCAGAGAUGCUUUAGUGCCUUCGGGAACUCUGAGACAGGUGCUGCAUGGCUGUCGUCAGCUCGUGUUGUGAAAUGUUGGGUUAAGUCCCGCAACGAGCGCAACCCUUAUCCUUUGUUGCCAGCACGUAAUGGUGGGAACUCAAAGGAGACUGCCGGUGAUAAACCGGAGGAAGGUGGGGAUGACGCCAAGUCAUCAUGGCCCUUACGAGUAGGGCUACACACGUGCUACAAUGGCGCAUACAAAGAGAAGCGACCUCGCGAGAGCAAGCGGACCUCAUAAAGUGCGUCGUAGUCCGGAUUGGAGUCUGCAACUCGACUCCAUGAAGUCGGAAUCGCUAGUAAUCGUAAAUCAGAAUGUUACGGUGAAUACGUUCCCGGGCCUUGUACACACCGCCCGUCACACCAUGGGAGUGGGUUGCAAAAGAAGUAGAUAGCUUAACCUUCGGGAGGGCGUCUACCACUUUGUGAUUCAUGACUGGGGUGAAGUCGUAACAAGGUAAGCGUAGUGCU